rnacentral:tRNA from 1 species
AGAGCAGUAGUUUAACAGGGAAGCAACAGAUUUCUGAUUUCGUUUAUAGGUUCGAGUCUUAUCUGCUCUG